GUCCCAAGCGUUGUUCGGAUUCACUGGGCGUAAAGGGUGCGUAGGUGGUGAGGUAAGUCCGAUGUGAAAGCUCCGAGCUCAACUCGGAAAUUGCAUUAGAAACUACCUUGCUAGAGGGUUGGAGGGGGGACUGGAAUUCUCGGUGUAGCAGUGAAAUGCGUAGAUAUCGAGAGGAACACCAGUGGCGAAGGCGAGUCCCUGGACAACUCCUGACACUGAGGCACGAAAGCUAGGGGAGCAAACAGG
rnacentral:rRNA from 1 species